rnacentral:misc_RNA from 1 species
UGUUGAUACAGCUGGGAGAAUGCAGGAUAAUGAACCACUCAUGAGAGCUCUCUCAAAGCUUAUCAACCUUAACAGUCCGGAUCUAGUCUUGUUUGUCGGGGAGGCCCUCGUUGGGAAUGAUGCCGUUGAUCAACUUUCAAAGUUCAAUCAGAAACUAGCUGACCUCUCAACUUCACCCGAACCCAGACUGAUUGAUGGUAUCUUGCUCACAAAGUUCGACACCAUUGAUGACAAGGUUGGAGCGGCAUUGUCUAUGGUUUACAUAUCUGGAGCACCGGUAAUGUUCGUCGGCUGUGGACAGUCGUAUACUGACCUCAAGAAGCUCAAUGUCAAAUCGAUCGUCAAAACGCUUAUCAAAUGAGAGGGCUGUGCCAGUACGAACACUCUCCCUUAUGUAUCGAUGAUGAGAUUUAUGAAUUUGUUUGUGUUGUUGAUUGCCCCCUAUGACCACCCAAUUCCCAUACAAA